rnacentral:rRNA from 1 species
CCUACGGGUGGCAGCAGUGGGGAAUAUUCGGCAAUGGGCGCAAGCCUGACCCAGCAACGCCGCGUGAAGGAAGAAGGCUUUCGGGUUGUAAAAUUCUGUUAAGAGAGAAGAGCAGAAGACGGUACCUCUUGAAUAAGCCACGGCUAACGACAUGCCAGCAGCCGCGGUAAUACGUAGGUGGCAGGCGUUGUCCGGAUUUACUGGGUGUAAAGGGCGUGCAGCCGGGAAGACAAGUCGGAUGUGAAAUCCCGCGGCUCAACCGCGGAACUGCAUUUGAAACUGUUUGUCUUGAGUACCGGAGAGGACAGCGGAAUUCCAUGUGUAGCGGUGAAAUGCGUAGAUAUAAGGAAGAACACCAGUGGCGAAGGCGGAUGACUGGACGGCAACUGACGGUGAGGCGCGAAAGCGUGGGGAGCAAACAGGAUUAGAUACCCGUGUAGUC